ensembl:lncRNA LINC00917 long intergenic non-protein coding RNA 917
ACUGGGCUGAGACCAAUGAAUGAGAUGGAGCCAGCCACGUGGUGAGCCAGAAGAGGGCAUCACAGGGCUUGAGUCUGGGGGAGCCUGGCUGCCCAGAGGUGGCAGAUGACAUGAAGAAAUAACCAUGUAAGGGCUGGCUGUGUAUGAGCCCUGACUUCCCACAGCUAUCCCCAAACACACUCGUUUACACUGAAGCACCAGGAGAUCAGAACCUUCUGGAAUCUUAAUAUGCGAGGACUCGGUGGAGAAGGCGGCACUGAAGAAGAGUCGUCCCUAGGCCAGGCUGGAGGGAAACUCAAGACGGCGGCCUGGCCCUCCUGGGUGGCGGAAGUGGGAGCAGCAGGAGCCCUGGCGGAUCCGGGAGGCCAGAAGAGCGGAAGCUUCCUCCCCUCUCAGGCCCUGGUCUCUAUGCGGGAGAAGCCAGCAAAGACCCUGUCCUCAGGAAGCUUCCAUUUCAGUGCGGGAGGACCCACAAUCCAUGAGGCCCCGGGCCUGCGGGUGUCAAGUCCUGCGAAGGAAAAUAAGGCAGGGAAACAGGCUGGAGACUGCGGGUGCUGCGUGAUGUUGUUUAGGACAGCCACAAGGACUUUCGGGGGUCGUGGCAGCUGCUCCACUUCCAACUUCCAGAUCCCUCUCACUUUCCUCUUCCCACCAACUCCAACCUGGGACCAAGCAGGGGAAAGCAGCUGCAGCCCAGCUUGACGCCCCUGCAAAUGGAGACCUGUGCACCUGGUUGUGAGCAUUUUAAAGGGUGUCACACAGGGCAUACCCUUCGGUGCCUGGAUUCCUUUGGUGCCAUGGCAAAGAGGGAUUAAGGUGGCAGGUGGAGUGAAGGUUGCUAAUCAGCCGACCUUAAAGUAGGGAGAUGAUCCUGAAUGAGACAAAAGAGAGAACCAGUCAUGGUGUCAUGAGAAGGACUCAAAAUGCAACUGCUGACUUUGAAGAUUAAGGGGCUACAAACCAAGGAACGUGGUAGUCUCUGGAAAAGACAAGGAAUAGACGCUGCGUUGGGGCCACCAGAAGGAACCAGCCCUGUCAACACCCUAAUUUUAGCCCAGUGAGGCCUGUGCUGGACUUCUGACCUCCAGAACUGUAAACUAAUAAAUGUGUGUUGUUUCUG